rnacentral:rRNA from 1 species
UAGUAGGUAAGGUCACCUGUAGAUUACAGGUUAAUAGGCUCUAUGUGGAAGUGCAGUAAUGCAUGUAGCAGAGGAGUACUAACAGACCGAGGGCUUGACCUCA